rnacentral:rRNA from 1 species
AUGAGUCUACUAACAUGGAACUUUCGCGGUGCUGGCAAUCUCGCGACGGUUCAAGAGCUUCGUGUCCUAACGAAGCGUUUUGCCCCCUCUAUGUUAUGCAUUCUGGAAACUCAAAUAGAGGGCUCGAGGGUAGAAGGAUUAGUAGAUACUUUGGGUUUUAAUAAAAGUUUUGCGGUCGGUAGUGUAGGAAGAAGUGGAGGUCUUGGUGUAUUUUGGAAUGAUUCAAUAAAAGCAAAAAUUAUCGGUUACUCUCAGUAUCAUAUUGACAUGGAAGUGGAGGACCUGGUUCGCCCUUUCCGUAUCACUUUUUUCUAUGGAGAGGCCCAAGUGCCUGAACGAUACAGAACAUGGUACACGAUGAGAGGAAUGUUUACGGCUAGCACACUCCCAUGGAUUGCUAUGGGUGAUUUUAACGAAGUUCUUCAUGCUAGUGAGCAUGAUGGAAUUGGCAAUCACAGCCAAGCUCGGAUGGAUGCUUUCAGAGAUGCUUUGGAUACCUGUGGUCUCUCGGAUAUUGGGUACAAAGGAAACUCGUGGACUUUUUGA